GCGCCGGUCACCACCACAUUCUCCAUCUAGUCGUGGUCGACGCCGUCGCAGCGCCCAUCACCACGUCCUCUUGCCGCACAUGGCAGCCACCUCUUGACGUGGACGACGCCAUCACGACGCUGAUCAUGAUGCCCUCCUUAUCUUGCGGCAUCGCACCGCAACCGCAUGUUCGCCACCCGUGCCACAACUCGCCGGUGACUCACCACCAUGUUGUCGACGAUGACACACCUUGUCGACGACUC
rnacentral:lncRNA from 1 species